rnacentral:siRNA from 1 species
CGGAUCAGCCGAUAGGGUUUAUCA